UACGUAGGGGGCAAGCGUUGUCCGGAAUUAUUGGGCGUAAAGCGCGCGUAGGCGGUUACUUAAGUCGGAUGUGAAAGCCCUCGGCUUAACUGAGGAAGUGCACCCGAAACUGAGUAGCUAGAGUACGAAAGAGGGUCGCGGAAUUCCCGGUGUAGAGGUGAAAUUCGUAGAUAUCGGGAGGAACACCGGUGGCGAAGGCGGCUUGCUGGGCCAGUUCUGACGCUGAGGAGCGAAAGCGUGGGGAGCGAACAGG
rnacentral:rRNA from 1 species